CAUGGAGGCCAUACAAACUACUGAAUACCAUUUUUUUACCAUUUUUUUGGUUUCAACUUUGUGCCAGCUUUGAAAAUUAUUUAGUAGUAAAGCGCUGAAAAUGAGAAAAGAGAAAAACCCUCAAACUUUUUAUUAACUUAAUAUUAAACUUCAACGUAAUUUCAAGAUAAUGGUUCAAAGAUGUUAAUCCCAUAUGGAAAUGUGGCACAAAAAAGGGAUAAUCAGUAGACUAAAUAAAUAAAACUUAGAAGCUGCUUAUCAUGGUGAUCAGAGAAACCUGACAUCACAACAGGUCAACACAACAAACAGUUGCAGGAAAAGGGUCCCUAAAGCUUGUUGUGCUGAUUGACACCAUCUCUUUGGGAGUGUAAUCAAAAGACGACCUCGUAAGCUUUCGAAUGAGCCAUACCAUGUCGAAAUCUAUGCAUUACAAGGAAAGUUAUGACCGGAAUACUGUGGCUGUGUAAUGGUCUGGCAUGUACCAGACGUUGUUUGUUUACAUCUUCACUCCCGUUCCAUGAUGGCGGCCGGUGACGCAUCGCCAGCCUAUGCUCGCUGGACAGUGGCGCGAGGCUUCUAUGAUUUCUAUGGGUAGGAGAACAACAGGAGGAUGCCCAAGUUUUGUGCUGUCUACGGCUGUACAAACCGGGAAAAUCAAAAGAGUUACUUUCGAGUUCCGAAAGUUGUAACCCACAAAGGGGAGAAAUUUAAAAAACUGACCGAAAAACGGCGGCAGACCUGGUUAAAAAAAACCUUCGUCUUAGGUCAGGGGGGGCAGAGUCGGUCAACGCCCGUGUCUGCAGUGACCACUUCGUGAAAGGCUGCCCAAGUGCUGUCACAGAUGUAGACUCUCCAGACUGGUCCCCGACGCUUCAUCUCGGCUACCAGAGAGGUAAACCGGUGACAGAGGCAUCACGUCAACGUGAGGAAAGAUUGAGGGCCAGAAAGGCUAAUGAGACCAACACGGAUGCAAAAGAGACCUGCACCAACACCACCAGGGCAUUGCUGGAGCUCAGUGAAGGCUCACAGAUCCCAGAAUCAGAACACUUAAAAGAUGUAUGAUGCCAGACUGACCUGACCAUGAAUGACCUUCAGAAGAUGCAGGAUGUUCUCAGUCAUUCAACAGAGGAGCUGACUGACCUCAGGCAAAAAAAGCACUGGAUGCAGAAUUUAAUCCAGAGGCUUUUCAGAACAAUGAAAAGACAAAAUUUUACACAGGAUUGCCCGUGUCUUAGUUUUAAAGCAGGUGUUUAGGUUAUGUGAGCCAUACAUCACCUCAAGUGGUUUGUCUGUACUUUCCAAAUUUGAACAGCUCAUUUUGGUCUUAAUUCAUUUGAGACUUAAUCUUCCACUGCAGGAUUUGGCUUUUAGAGUCAAGAUUUCAUGUUCCACUGCUUCUCGAAUUUGGCACAAGAUGAUUGACAUACUUCAUGCAAGAACAGAGUUUCUAAUUGAGUGGCCGGAGCGAGAGGUGUUGCAAGCUACCAUGCCAAUGUCAUUUAGGCAAGCAUUUGGAUGCAAGGUUGCAGUAAUUGUGGACUGUUUCGAAGUGUUCAUAGAAAGGCCUAAUUUACUAGCAAGAGCACAAAUCUGGUCCAGUUAUAAACACCACAACACUGUCAAAUUUCUCAUUGGCAUUGCACCUCAAGGAUAUGUCACAUACAUCUCUCGUGCUUGGGGAGGGAGAGUAAGUGACAAGCAGUUAACUGAAGAGAGUGGUCUGCUGAAGAAUUUGUUGCCCGAUGACAUUGUUCUGGCAGAUCACGGCUUUAAUAUAGGGGAAAGUGUUGGAUUUUACUGUGCUUCAUUGUAUAUGCCUGCAUUCACAAAAGGGAAGAGCCAGCUAUCUGCAUAUGAGGUUGAACAAACAAGAAAACUUGCUAAUGUGUGCAUUCAUGUGGAAAGAGUAAUAGGAUUAGUGCGAAGAAAGUACCAAAUUCUGCAGAGUAGGGCAAUGCCCAUUGAACAUAUGGCUGCAAAAGCAGGAGAUUCACUGGCACUGAUUGAUAAGAUUGGGGUUAUUUGCUGUGCAUUAGCUAACCUUUCUGUCUCCGUUGUCCCACUGGAGUAAGCAAUAGACAUUAUAUUCAUCCAAAGUAAAAAAGAAAAGAAAAUACUUGAAUGUAUUGACAGAAUUGGCAGAAAACCAGAGUCCCACCAUCACUGUGCAAUCUUUGAGAAAUACCAUCUCCUCAGCUUCGACAACCUCAGAACUUUCAAAAAGUGCUUAAUAAGUGCAAAAAUGUGUCUACCCCAUGAUUGUUUCAAAGGAGAGUUUCUCUCUCUUUUUUAAGUGUAAAAAUUAGCCUAAUUGUAAAGGAAGGUUUCUCCCUCCUUUUAAAAUUGGAAACAUUAGACUAGAAGUACAAAUAUCAGCCUAAUUCUGAUGUUGUCAAAGGUGGGUUUCACUCUUUCAUGAAAAAUAAAUGAAGUAUGUAUAUAUGUAUUUGUCAACAACAAAGACAGGAGUGCUUAUAUGAAGCUUGUUUUUGUAGGUUGGUUAAUGUUGUGUGAUUCUGUAUAUAUUCUGUUAAUUAAUAUGCUGUAGUUAUGUUUUAACCCUCCUGUUGUCCUCACAUCAAGGAAAGGACAGAGGUGAAGAAGCUAGGAAGGAUGGAGGAAAGAAGCAUUUUCUGUCUCUUACUAUGAAAUUCCAAAAAAGAUUUCCAAUGUUUAACUUUAUACUUUUACUUGAGUAAAGUUCUUUUUAUACACGUAUCUGUUCUUCUAUUCAAGAAUGUGUGUACUUUUGGCACCUCUGUAUAUUGUACAUGUGUUUUUAUAUUUAUGUUUACUUAUAUAUAGGCAUUAAAAAUAUUUCAUACUUUGAA